rnacentral:rRNA from 1 species
GAUGAACGCUGGCGGCGUGCCUAAUACAUGCAAGUCGAGCGAACGGACGAGAAGCUUGCUUCUCUGAUGUUAGCGGCGGACGGGUGAGUAACACGUGGAUAACCUACCUAUAAGACUGGGAUAACUUCGGGAAACCGGAGCUAAUACCGGAUAAUAUUUUGAACCGCAUGGUUCAAAAGUGAAAGACGGUCUUGCUGUCGCUUAUAGAUGGAUCCGCGCUGCAUUAGCUAGUUGGUAAGGUAACGGCUUACCAAGGCAACGAUGCAUAGCCGACCUGAGAGGGUGAUCGGCCACACUGGAACGGAGACACGGUCCAGACUCCUACGGGAGGCAGCAGUAGGGAAUCUUCCGCAAUGGGCGAAAGCCUUACGGAGCAACGCCGCGUGAGUGAUGAAGGUCUUCGGAUCGUAAAACUCUGUUAUUAGUGAAGAACAUAUGUGUAAGUAACUGUGCACAUCUUGACGGUACCUAAUCAGAAAGCCACGGCUAACUACGUG